rnacentral:rRNA from 1 species
CCUACGGGAGACAGCAGUGAGGAAUAUUGGUCAAUGGACGAGAGUCUGAACCAGCCAAGUAGCGUGAAGGAUGACUGCCCUAUGGGUUGUAAACUUCUUUUAUAAAGGAAUAAAACGAGGCACGUGUGCCUUUUUGCAUGUACUUUAUGAAUAAGGAUCGGCUAACUCCGUGCCAGCAGCCGCGGUAAUACGGAGGAUCCGAGCGUUAUCCGGAUUUAUUGGGUUUAAAGGGAGCGUAGAUGGGUUGUUAAGUCAGUUGUUAAAGUUUGCGGCUCAACCGUAAAAUUGCAAUUGAUACUGGCAGUCUUGAGUACAGUUGAGGUAGGCGGAAUUCGUGGUGUAGCGGUGAAAUGCUUAGAUAUCACGAAGAACCCCGAUUGCGAAGACAGCUUACUAAACUGUGACUGACAUUGAUGCUCGAAAGUGUGGGUAUCAAACAGGAUUAGAUACCCGUGUAGUC